GACGUAGGGGGCGAGCGUUGUCCGGAUUUACUGGGCGUAAAGCGCGUGCAGGCGGUCUGCUAAGUCCCGUGUUAAAGCCUCCGGCUCAACCGGAGAACGCCGCGGGAUACUGGCGGGCUUGAGGUAGGUAGAGGAUGAUGGAAUUCCCGGUGUAGCGGUGAAAUGCGUAGAUAUCGGGAGGAACGCCAGUGGCGAAGGCGGUCAUCUGGGCCUCACCUGACGCUGAGACGCGAAAGCUGGGGGAGCGAACGGG
rnacentral:rRNA from 1 species